rnacentral:lncRNA from 7 species
GCCUUUUCUAGGUCAGCCACUGCCCCUGAUCUAGAUUUGGAUGUUGCUUGUGGACAUGACCCAGAAAGGUGUGUGGCUUGCCAUAAUAACACAGCUGGCUCUCCAUUUCAAGUUAUCAGCAUAUCCUUGCAGCCAUUUCUAGAUGUAUUUCUGGUAAAGGAGGACUGGCCUUUGGUUGCUUGCCUUAGGACAACUGAAAGCAAUUGAAAGACUCUUUUUUGAGCUGAGGGCAGCCCAGUAAAAAAUGCAGUUUCUGCAAUUUAUUGAAUUACUAAAGUAUGCAGAAAUUAUUAAUCACUAAACAUGAGAAAUAACUCAUGGCUUUCUUCUCUUGGUCUCACUCAACUUCAGCUGCCCUCUUUGAAUUAGUCCCAGAAGACAAUUAUUAUUUAUAUUACAGCAACACCUAGAGGCCCCUGCUGAAAUCAGGGCACUGUUGCUCAGUGCACUGCACACACCUGCCUCAUGUCCUGCCAUUCCAGCUGAUCAGCAAGAGGAAGAGGAGCAGUGGACACAGCAGGAGCAAAUCCAGAGCAUGCACCCAUGCUAACUCAGGCUGUAGAGUUGCUAUGCACUCUUGUCACCUAAAUGGGAAGCCAGCCUUGCAACUGCACUACUCUCAGAGGUGAGACCUAAUGGGCAUUACUGUUGCACUGGUGCCAGGAGACCAACUGCUGGGAACCAGAGGGCUAGGGCAGUCCCCACAGUCACCAGUGAAAGGAAAGUACUUACUGGGCCAGGUAGAUCCCAAGACCAUCACACUGCAGGAGGACUUUCAAGCCUUGAGCACUGGCUGGAAGGAACAUGAGGAAAGCAAUCUGUUUGGCAGUGGAGGGGACAGCUCUGCUUCUGCCGUUCAUGCCUGUGCUAUCUGUUCCAGAACUGACCAGUGGAAAACUUCUGGCCUUGCUUUUUCCCACUCUGCUUGGGGUUAAAGAGGGUACAAGAUGUAACAAGGUUUGGAAAUCACCCAGCGGAGAGCAUUCAUUGUUGGCUCCAGCCUUUAUUAAUGGAGAGCGGUUCAGAUUCAAGGCUAAAUCACUGGCUGAAGAGGACAGGAGCAGACAAAAGGCAAGGGGUACUGCAUGUGACCUGCGAGCUGGAAGUGUAACAAGAACGAUUUGGAAAUACUGCAAAGAGCAAACUGAUCCUGGUGGCAGUGUCAAUAGCCUCCCCUGUGAGCACUAAUUGUAUUAUUACGAAAACAGACUAACACAAAACUAAAGCACAGGGAGCCAGGGAGUCCAUUUAGGACUGGGUGCAUUAGCAGGGCUGUGAAGCACCCUCUCUGGAGCCCUUUCUGUCCCAGGGUUUUGACACAAGCGAUAAAACCUGCACAAAUCCAGGGAAAGCACUGAGGGCUGUUUAUGCCCCGAUCCAUUAUUUUUGUGGGGGAGUUUGUAAAUGAGUGAUUGUGUGGGAGGGAAAUGUACAUAACACAGCUAAAGCAGCAUGUUUUACUGUGUUUUCUGAUUCCAUUUUACUCCUUUAGUCUCUCCGGUCCCUGAGGAUUUUUCUGAAGGGGCGAUAAAAUAAAAUGGGUGAAACAAAGCCAUAAGCCAGUUAAGUCUGAAAGACAUGUCAUCUCAUCUAAAAAGAAGAAACGGACCAUUUCCAUGCCUAGGGCUGACAGCAACGCCUGAGCUAGCAAUAGCGCUAUUC